GAUGAACGCUGGCGGCGUGCCUAAUACAUGCAAGUCGAGCGGACGGACGCGGCUCUUGCUUCUCUGAUGUUAGCGGCAGACGGGUGAAUCACACGUGGAUCCCCUCCCUAUAAGACUGGGAUCACUUCGGAAAACCGGAUCUAAUACCGGAUGAUAUUUUGCACCACGUUGGUCAAAGGUAAAAGACGGUCGUUCGGUCACGUAUCGAGGGUUCCCAGCUGCAUUAGCUAGUUGGUAAGGUAACGGCUUACCAAGGCAAGGAUGCAUGGCCGACCUGCGAGGGUGAUCGGCCACACUGGAACUGAGACACGGUCCAGACUCCUACGGGAGGCAGCAGUAGGGAAUCUUACGCAAUGGGCGAAAGCCUGACGGAGCAACGCCGCGUGAGUGAUGAAGGUCUUCGGAUCGUAAAACUCUGUUAUUAGGGAAGAACAGAUGUGUAAGGAACUGUGCACAGCGUGACGGUACCUAAUCAGAAAGCCACGGCUAACUACGUG
rnacentral:rRNA from 1 species